ACCCGACUGCUAUCAGAGUGGGACUAAGCCAUGCGAGUCAACAUAGCAAUAUGUGGCAUACGGCCCAGUAACACGUAGUCAACAUGCCCAGGGGACGUGGAUAACCUCGGGAAACUGAGGAUAAACCGCGAUAGGUCAUCACUUCUGGAAUGGGUAAUGACUUAAAUCUAUAUGGCCCCUGGAUUGGACUGCGGCCGAUCAGGCUGUUGGUGAGGUAAUGGCCCACCAAACCUGUAACCGGUACGGGCUCUGAGAGGAGGAGCCCGGAGAUGGGCACUGAGACAAGGGCCCAGGCCCUAUGGGGCGCAGCAGGCGCGAAACCUCUGCAAUAGGCGAAAGCUUGACAGGGUUACUCUGAGUGAUUUCCGUUAAGGAGAUCUUUUGGCACCUCUAAAAAUGGUGCAGAAUAAGGGGUGGGCAAGUCUGGUGUCAGCCGCCGCGGUAAUACCAGCACCCCGAGUGGUCGGGACGUUUAUUGGGCCUAAAGCAUCCGUAGCCGGUUCUACAAGUCUUCCGUUAAAUCCACCUGCUUAACAGAUGGGCUGCGGAAGAUACUAUAGAGCUAGGAGGCGGGAGAGGCAAGCGGUACUCGAUGGGUAGGGGUAAAAUCCGUUGAUCCAUUGAAGACCACCAGUGGCGAAGGCGGCUUGCCAGAACGCGCUCGACGGUGAGGGAUGAAAGCUGGGGGAGCAAACCGGAUUAGAUACCCGGGUAGUCCCAGCUGUAAACGAUGCAGACUCGGUGAUGAGUUGGCUUAUUACUAACUCAGUGCCGCAGGGAAGCCGUUAAGUUUGCCGCCUGGGGAGUACGGUCGCAAGACUGAAACUUAAAAGAAUUGGCGGGGGAGCACCACAAGGGGUGAAGCCUGCGGUUCAAUUGGAGUCAACGCCGGAAAUCUUACCGGGGGCGACAGCAGAGUGAAGGUCAAGCUGAAGACUUUACCAGACAAGCUGAGAGGAGGUGCAUGGCCGUCGCCAGCUCGUGCCGUGAGGUGUCCUGUUAAGUCAGGUAACGAGCGAGAUCCCUGCCUCUAGUUGCUACCAUUAUUCUCAGGAGUAGUGGAGCUAAUUAGAGGGACCGCCGUCGCUGAGACGGAGGAAGGUGGGGGCUACGGCAGGUCAGUAUGCCCCGAAACCCUCGGGCCACACGCGGGCUGCAAUGGUAAGGACAAUGAGUUUCGAUUCCGAAAGGAGGAGGCAAUCUCUAAACCUUACCACAGUUAUGAUUGAGGGCUGAAACUCGCCCUCAUGAAUAUGGAAUCCCUAGUAACCGCGUGUCACUAUCGCGCGGUGAAUACGUCCCUGCUCC
rnacentral:rRNA from 1 species